rnacentral:rRNA from 1 species
GAUGAACGCUGGCGGCGUGCCUAAUACAUGCAAGUCGAACGCAGUGGGGACGGGUGAGUAACACGUGGGUAACCUCCCAUCAGAGGGGAUAACACUUGGUAACAGGUGCUAAACCGAUACUGAUGGAUGGACCCGCGGGGCAUUAGCUAGUUGGUGAGGUAACGUCUCACCAAGGCCACGAUGCAUAGCCGACCUGAGAGGUUGAUCGGCAACACUGGGCCUGAGACACUGCCGAGACUCCUACGGGAGGAAGCGGUAGGGAAUCUUCGGCAAUGGACGAAAGUCUGACCGAGCAACACCGCGUGAGUGAAGAGGGUUAUCGGAUCGUAAAACUCAGUUGUUAGAGAAGCGGUAUCUAACCAGAAAGCCACGGCUAACUACGUGCCAGCAGCCGCGGUAAUAC